GCUGGCGCUGCAUACGGCGGGAGUCGGCGAUGAGUAUAUGACAUUCUAGGAGCAGUGUCCGGCUUUCUAGCCACGGAACGUCAACAUGUUGCGUGUGCUCACUGGGCUUGAUUUCCCGAGUGUGAGAGAAGAAAGCCAUGCUGGGAAACUUCUGACAGAGGCACGGCUCAGGCAUCCGGCAGGGAGAUGGUGAUUAGGCGAGGCAGGACGGACCUAACAGCCGCAGAGCUGAACCCACAGAUCGGGGCGGGGGAGGCCUGUGUCGGAGCCACCGGGAGCUGCGAACGGGACCAGCGGGGGGACCGGCAGGGCACGAGGACUGCCGUGCCGGUCUCUUUCCAUUUCUGCUGUAAAACAAAAUGCCCCUGGUUGUGUGAAGGAAGGGGUCAAGUCUCCAAACAUUU